rnacentral:lncRNA from 1 species
CAUCACCAAAGGGAAUAUGGUUUUAGUUCACAUUCUUUUCUUUAUCUUUUAUGUUUCAAAUAACAAAAAUUUUACGGUUUAAAACAAUAUCUGAGGCUUAUUGCCUCGAAUCCUGCUUCAUGUGAGGCUACCAUAGAACACCUCAAAACCUGCAACUUAAAUGCCAUUUGUGAGGCUUACACAUCAAGCCAACUAAGGUGUUUGCCCGUUUGCCUUGAAGUUUUCAAACAUUUAAUUUUUAGCUCUAGUUUUUUAAGUUUUUUCUUAAACCUAAAAUGUUAAGCGGGUCUUUCAUUUUCAUUUUUCUACCUACACGGAAGGAAAAUGGGAAUGAGAAUACGCCAUUGCAAUUGUAGGGUGAUCACAAAGAACGAAAAUAAACUUAUAACAAGGAUGAUUACAAUGUUAAUGGUUCCACAAAAGAACAUAUUAGUAGUGAUUAUAUAAGAAUUUUUUGAGUUGCCUCCACUUUUAUUAAUAAGUCAUAAUUUUGUUACAUGAUUACUAAUUUGAGAACUUAUUAUUUUCUACUUUCUUGAUCGAUUUAAUUUUUGUUUGUAGUUAGACUUUAACUUUGUAAAAUAGUUUUCUUAUGAAUUGUUUAGUGUUGCGGAAUGGAUCUUCAAUAUGUAGAUUCCGGGCUCAGAUUAAACUUACCAAUCAAUAUAUCAACCAACCAUCCAAAACUUCAAACCCACAACUCAAUUCACUUAUGAUUGCAUUCUUCUUUUCUCACCCACAAAGGGACAACAGUAUGGUGGUGAUUGCAAGCCACAAGGGCAAAGAAAAGACAAAAAGGCAAGAACUUGAAUAAGGUCACAAAGGAGAACCCGUUUUCUCUCUUCUCAAACAAGGGCAAACACACACAGUUUCUACGCAAAAGAGUUGGUAUAUAUAGCUUUAGGUAAAAUUUCAAUUGGGCUACAAUACAAAAGGUUGGGCCAAGACAUAGGGAAGCCCUCGUAUAAGUGAAUUUGGGCUAAGGCAACAUUAAAACCAAUUAAGUUGCUACUAGUGGCCCACGUUGUUUUUGGGUCAAACAUAUGAAUUGAUUGGUUGAUAAAUUUCACUCAUCGGCCACAAUCUAUGAAAUACAAUCCGACAUUGUUU